AGAGUUUGAUCCUGGCUCAGAUUGAACGCUGGCGGCACGCUUAACACAUGCAAGUCGAACGGCAGCGGGAGAGAGCUUGCUCUCUUGCCGGUGAGUGGCGAACGGGUGAGUAACGCGUAGGGAUCUGCCUGUUAGAGGGGGAUAAGCCGAGGAAACUUGGACUAAUACCGCAUACGCUCUGAGGAGGAAAGGAUGGGACUGCCGAAAGGUGGCCAUGCGCUAACAGAUGAACCUGCGUUAGAUUAGCUAGUUGGUAGGGUAAAGGCCUACCAAGGCGACGAUCUAUAGCUGGUCUGAGAGGAUGACCAGCCACACUGGAACUGAGAUACGGACCAGACUCCUACGGGAGGCAGCAGUGGGGAAUAUUGGACAAUGGGGGGAACCCUGAUCCAGCGAUGCCGCGUGUGUGAAGAAGGCCUGAGGGUUGUAAAGCACUUUAGUUGGGGAGGAAAGGUUUCACUUCGAAUAGGGGUGAAAGAAGACGUUACCCAAAGAAUAAGCACCGGCUAACUCUGUGCCAGCAGCCGCGGUAAUACAGAGGGUGCAAGCGUUAAUCGGAAUGACUGGGCGUAAAGGGCACGUAGGCGGAUAGAUGUGUCAUAGGUGAAAUCCCCGGGCUUAACCUGGGAACUGCCUAUGAAACUGUGUAUCUAGAAUAGAGUAGAGGUAAGUGGAAUUUCCGGUGUAGCGGUGAAAUGCGUAGAUAUCGGAAAGAACACCAGUGGCGAAGGCGACUUACUGGACUCAUAUUGACGCUGAGGUGCGAAAGCGUGGGGAGCAAACGGGAUUAGAUACCCCGGUAGUCCACGCUGUAAACGAUGAGAACUAGCUGCUUGUUGACUAAGGUUAAUGAGUAGUGAAGCAAACGCAUUAAGUUCUCCGCCUGGGGAGUACGGCCGCAAGGUUAAAACUCAAAGGAAUUGACGGGGGCCCGCACAAGCGGUGGAGCAUGUGGUUUAAUUCGAUGCAACGCGAAAAACCUUACCUACCCUUGACAUGUCUGGAAUCCUGAAGAGAUUUGGGAGUGCCCGCGAGGGAACCAGAACACAGGUGCUGCAUGGCUGUCGUCAGCUCGUGUCGUGAGAUGUUGGGUUAAGUCCCGUAACGAGCGCAACCCCUAUUGUUAGUUGCCAUCAAGUAAAGUUGGGCACUCUAAUGAGACUGCCGGUGAUAAACCGGAGGAAGGUGGGGAUGAUGUCAAGUCAUCAUGGCCCUUAUGGGUAGGGCUACACACGUGCUACAAUGGACGGUACAAAGGGAAGCGAAGUCGCGAGAUGGAGCGGAUCCUCAUAAGCCGUUCGUAAUCCGGAUUGGAGUCUGCAACUCGACUCCAUGAAGUCGGAAUCGCUAGUAAUCGUGGAUCAGCAUGCCACGGUGAAUACGUUCCCGGGCCUUGUACACACCGCCCGUCACGCCAUGGGAGUGGGUUGUACCAGAAGUCAGUAGACUAACCGCAAGGAGGUCGCUGACCACGGUAUGGUUCAUGACUGGGGUGAAGUCGUAACAAGGUAGCCGUAGGGGAACCUGCGGCUG
rnacentral:rRNA from 1 species